rnacentral:tRNA from 1 species
GAAAUUCUUUUUAAAUUAUUCCCUG